AUUGAACGCUGGCGGCAUGCCUUACACAUGCAAGUCGAACGGCAGCAUGAUCUAGCUUGCUAGAUUGAUGGCGAGUGGCGAACGGGUGAGUAAUACAUCGGAACGUGCCCUGUAGUGGGGGAUAACUAGUCGAAAGAUUAGCUAAUACCGCAUACGACCUGAGGGUGAAAGUGGGGGACCGCAAGGCCUCAUGCUAUAGGAGCGGCCGAUGUCUGAUUAGCUAGUUGGUGAGGUAAAGGCUCACCAAGGCGACGAUCAGUAGCUGGUCUGAGAGGACGAUCAGCCACACUGGGACUGAGACACGGCCCAGACUCCUACGGGAGGCAGCAGUGGGGAAUUUUGGACAAUGGGGGCAACCCUGAUCCAGCAAUGCCGCGUGUGUGAAGAAGGCCUUCGGGUCGUAAAGCACUUUUGUCCGGAAAGAAAUCGCACUUACUAAUAUUAGGUGUGGAUGACAGUACCGGAAGAAUAAGGACCGGCUAACUACGUGCCAGCCGCCGCCGUAAUAC
rnacentral:rRNA from 1 species